UACGGAGGGUCCAAGCGUUAUCCGGAAUCAUUGGGCUUAAAGGGUCCGUAGGCGGUUUUGUAAGUCAGUGGUGAAAGCCCAUCGCUCAACGGUGGAACGGCCAUUGAUACUGCAAGACUUGAAUUAUUGGGAAGUAACUAGAAUAUGUAGUGUAGCGGUGAAAUGCUUAGAGAUUACAUGGAAUACCAAUUGCGAAGGCAGGUUACUGGGAAGGGAUUGACGCUGAUGGACGAAAGCGUGGGUAGCGAACAGG
rnacentral:rRNA from 1 species